UAAACGACUCUCGGCAACGGAUAUCUCGGCUCUUGCAUCGAUGAAGAACGUAGCGAAAUGCGAUACUUGGUGUGAAUUGCAGAAUCCCGUGAUCCAUCGAGUCUUUGAACGCAAGUUGCGCCUGAAGCCAUUAGGUUGAAGGCACGUCUGCCUGGGCGUCACGC
rnacentral:rRNA from 1 species